rnacentral:tRNA from 7 species
GCUUGUCUAGCUCAGUCAGUAGAGCAGAAGACUUUUAACCUUGAGGUCUUGGGUUCGAGCCCCACUAUUGAUG